GACGAACGCUGGCGGCGUGCUUAACACAUGCAAGUCGAGCGGAGCGGCGGACGGGUGAGUAAUGCCUAGGAAUCUGCCUGGUCGUGGGGGAUAACGUACGGAAACGGGCGCUAAUACCGCAUACUAUCAGAUGAGCCUAGGUCGGAUUAGCUAGUUGGUGGGGUAAAGGCUUACCAAGGCGACGAUCCGUAACUGGUCUGAGAGGAUGAUCAGUCACACUGGAACUGAGACACGGUCCAGACUCCUACGGGAGGCAGCAGUGGGGAAUAUUGGACAAUGGGCGAAAGCCUGAUGCAGCCAUGCCGCGUGUGUGAAGAAGGUCUUCGGAUUGUAAAGCACUUUAAGUUGGGAGGCGUUACCGACAGAAUAAGCACCGGCUAACUCCGUGCCAGCAGCCGCGGUAAUAC
rnacentral:rRNA from 1 species